rnacentral:rRNA from 1 species
CGUGGGCAAUCUGCCCUUCACUCUGGGACAAGCCCUGGAAACGGGGUCUAAUACCGGAUAACACCGGCUUCCGCAUGGGAGCUGGUUGAAAGCUCCGGCGGUGAAGGAUGAGCCCGCGGCCUAUCAGCUUGUUGGUGGGGUAAUGGCCUACCAAGGCGACGACGGGUAGCCGGCCUGAGAGGGCGACCGGCCACACUGGGACUGAGACACGGCCCAGACUCCUACGGGAGGCAGCAGUGGGGAAUAUUGCACAAUGGGCGAAAGCCUGAUGCAGCGACGCCGCGUGAGGGAUGACGGCCUUCGGGUUGUAAACCUCUUUCAGCAGGGAAGAAGCGAAAGUGACGGUACCUGCAGAAGAAGCGCCGGCUAACUACGUGCCAGCAGCCGCGGUAAUACGUAGGGCGCAAGCGUUGUCCGGAAUUAUUGGGCGUAAAGAGCUCGUAGGCGGCUUGUCACGUCGGGUGUGAAAGCCCGGGGCUUAACCCCGGGUCUGCAUCCGAUACGGGCA